UACGUAGGGGGCAAGCGUUGUCCGGAUUUAUUGGGCGUAAAGAGCGUGUAGGCGGCCAGGUAGGUGGGUUGUGAAAACUGGAGGCUCAACCUUCAGAGGUCGACCGAAACCAUCUGGCUAGAGUCCGGGAGAGGAGAGUGGAAUUCCUGGUGUAGCGGUGAAAUGCGCAGAUAUCAGGAAGAACACCCGUGGCGAAAGCGGCUCUCUGGAACGGUACUGACGCUGAGACGCGAAAGCGUGGGGAGCAAACGGG
rnacentral:rRNA from 1 species